AAGCUGUAACGGCCUAAGCAAAAGCUUCUAACUUUUAACUUGAGAGGUUCAACUCCUUUCACAGCUUU
rnacentral:tRNA from 1 species